rnacentral:rRNA from 1 species
GACGGAGGGUGCUAGCGUUGUUCGGAAUCACUGGGCGUAAAGGGCGCGUAGGCGGCCUUGCAAGUCGGUUGGUGAAAGCCCGGGGCUCAACCCCGGAGGUGCGGCCGAGACUGCAGGGCUGGAGGCCGGAAGAGGAGGGUGGAAUACCCAGUGUAGAGGUGAAAUUCGUAGAUAUUGGGUGGAACACCGGUGGCGAAAGCGGCUCUCUGGUCCGAACCUGACGCUGAGGCGCGAAAGCGUGGGGAGCAAACAGG